rnacentral:snRNA from 1 species
AGAAUAGCUUGAACCCAGGAGGUGGAGGUUGCAGUGAGCCGAGACCACACCACUGCAUACCAGCCUGGGGGACAGAG